rnacentral:lncRNA from 1 species
AGUAAAACGUCAGCAGCAUCAUAGCACUGAAAUCAAAUUUGGCGGGAAAUUCAAUUUGAAAUUUGUCUGGAUUUAGCUGACGCACCCUGUAGUGUACGAUCUAGUGCUGUGAUCUGUCCUAGACUUAGGUCGUUAGCAGUGCCGCCAUGACACUUCUAAUUGUCAUAAAUUUAUUUACAGAGCAACUUUCAUCCUAAUAUAGCAAUGCCGACAUGACACUGUUAAUCAAGGUACAGUCACCUUCGUUACUACUGCCUCUUCUAUCUAUUAAUUUAUACUAAUUAAAUGAUCUGUAAAAUAGUAAAAGCUUACAAAUGCAGUUCAGAUGGAUACUAUAGCUCUAUAUCGUUUAGCAUUUUCGGUCAAAGAAAUUGCAAAAGAUUUUGGUGGAGUGUUUCUCUCGAAUAUGAUACCUGUGAAAAAUGGAAAAUAUAAAUCAUUCAUAAUUAACACAGAGGAAAGUAAUAAGAAAGGCAUGUACUGGCUCGCUCUUUUCCUGGAUUUAGAAAAUUGCUAUUUUUUUCGACAGUUACCGAUUUAAACCGAAGAUUCCGUCUACAAAUUUCUUCGAUAGAAUAGUAAGAGUUUAUUACAAUAAACACGUUUAUCGAGGACGGUAUUCCACUGCUUGUGGAUAUUUUUGUUUGCGAUUUAUUUGAUAAAGAAAAUAUAAUCUGAGUUUAUGGCCAUUAAAUGCCCGAACUAAAAAUUUUAACCAAAUGUAUUUUUGUUCGUAGAAAAUUAUAUUUUGCCGAUCUUCCAUCAAAUGUUUUAAUUUACUAUAAUAUAAUCAUAGUUUGCUUAGUAAAUAAUAUUUUUAAAUGUUAUAUAUUGGAUAUUUAUUAAAUAUUUUGUUACAUAUUAUUACUUGAAAAUAUAUUGAAUAUUCACGUAUCAUAAUUAAUAGCAGGUAUUUUUAAAAUUAGCUUUCAGUAAAGUAUCGUUGCAGUGGAUCGUCUUUUUCAUCAUUAUUUAAGUUUUAUUCAAAAAUUACAACUGAAAAAAUUUAAAUUUAUUUAAAUAUGAAAAUAAAAAUAUUAUGUCCUUUUGGAAAAAUCGAU